UACGUAGGGUGCAAGCGUUGUCCGGAAUUAUUGGGCGUAAAGAGCUCGUAGGCGGCUCGUCGCGUCGGCUGUGAAAACCUGGGGCUCAACCCCGGGCCUGCAGCCGAUACGGGCGAGCUAGAAUUCGGUAGGGGAGACUGGAAUUCCUGGUGUAGCGGUGAAAUGCGCAGAUAUCAGGAGGAACACCUGUGGCGAAAGCGGCUCACUGGACCAUAACUGACGCUGAUGCACGAAAGCUAGGGGAGCAAACAGG
rnacentral:rRNA from 1 species